rnacentral:lncRNA from 1 species
ACAUUUGCCUCCAAGCAAGCUGGAAGAAAAAAAAUGGAACAUCUUUUUCAGUCUUUGGACCUCAAAAUAUAUAAUUCAGGCUGUACAAAGAGCAUGGCACCAGCAUGUGCUUCUGGUGAGGGCCUCAGGAAGCUUCCGCUCAUGAUGGACAGUGAAGGGGGGACAGGCAUACAUGGUGAGAGGAAGGAAGCCAGAGGAAGAGAGAGAGGUGCCAGACUCUUUUCAACAACAAAUCUCAACAACUCACUCCCCACGAGAAUGGCACCAAGCCAUUCAUGAGGUAGCUGCCCCAACAACGCAACACCUCUCCCACCAGGCUCACCUCCAACACUGGGGAUCAAAUUUCAACAAGAUACUUAAUGGUGCAAACUGCAUCCAAAUCAUAGCACACAUUAAAUGAACUACCUACUUCUCUGUCACUUACUUACCUCUGAGUUGCUGAAUAUCAAAAUAUUCCAGAUCUAGAUAGAUACAGCUCUAGACAGAUCCAGAUAAUUUUUCUGUAAGCCAGAAAAAUUGGGCUCACCAUUUUCUCAAGUCUCAAAAAUGAGACUACCUACUGUAGAAACAUAUGGCUUUGAUAUACGAGGAGCC